AGUGAACGCUGGCGGUAGGCCUAACACAUGCAAGUCGAACGGCAGCACAGGAGAGCUUGCUCUCUGGGUGGCGAGUGGCGGACGGGUGAGGAAUACAUCGGAAUCUACCUUUUCGCGGGGGAUAACGUAGGGAAACUUACGCUAAUACCGCAUACGACCUACGGGUGAAAGUGGGGGACCGCAAGGCCUCACGCGAUUAG
rnacentral:rRNA from 1 species